GGGCGGCUAGCUCAGUGGGAGAGCGCCACAUUGACACUGUGGAGGUCAGAAGUUCAAUCCUUCUGCCGCCCACCA
rnacentral:tRNA from 1 species